AGUCGAGUGGAUCCGGGAAGAGGCCUGGUGUCUUCAGGUGUGGACAAAUCCUCCAAGAUUUAACUUCCAAGAAAACCGGCGGCGGAGCGGGUGGAGGAGGCGAGGAUGUGUGGCCAAUGCACGCGGAGUGCAAGGCAAGUCAGUGAUAGUAGGAAAAACUGUGGGGAUUUCACUGGGACUGGAGGGGGAGGCACCGCAAACCGACCCCCAAGUGCGUGGCUGGGGUGCGUGGACCUCACACCUCCAAGGAAAGUCAGUGCUCUUGACGCGGUGAAUCAGCGAUGCGCCUCCUCUUUCCUCCCUCAUUUAGGCCGCCUAGUUGGGAGCCGCAAGAGCCUGCCUGGUGUGGCAGGCACACGGAACCCAAUCCCUGUCUGUCCGCUGCGGCCUGGGAGGGGAGCGCCGGCCUCACCAGAGGAAGGAGCACGAGGGGAGGAGUUCCGAGAGGAAAUAAUUAGUGAAAUAUUUGCAGAAGAUGCUGGGAUGUGGAUUUAAUUCCGGAUGGACAGUGGUGCUUCUGAUUCCCUCAGUCUGUUUCCCCACCCACGAUCUCCUCUUUCCUUGGCCUAGACACACCAAAAAUAAUUCAAUAAAAUAAAAAUAAAAAUUUAAAAA
rnacentral:lncRNA from 1 species